UACGUAGGGUGCAAGCGUUGUCCGGAAUUAUUGGGCGUAAAGAGCUCGUAGGCGGCUUGUCGCGUCGACUGUGGAAAACCUGGGGCUUAACUCCGGCCUGCAGUCGAUACGGGCAAGCUAGAGUUCGGUAGGGGAGACUGGAAUUCCUGGUGUAGCGGUGAAAUGCGUAGAUAUCUGGAGGAACACCGGUGGCGAAGGCGGCAUCCUGGGACCGAUAUUGACGCUGAGGCGCGAAAGCCAGGGGAGCAACGGGG
rnacentral:rRNA from 1 species